rnacentral:ribozyme from 1 species
AAAAGAAGAAGACAGAAAUGCUGGACUUUCAGCAAGUUCUGUUUUUUUCUUCUUCUUCUGGAUAAAUAAUAAAAAAAAAAAAUGGAGAGCUUCGUUGUAGGCGUAUACUAC